CAUGUGUGUCCCGAAUUACUUGUCUUAGAUUUGUUUAUAUACGGAUGUAUCUAGACUAGACAUGUUUUAGUGUUAGAUACAUCCGUAUCUUGAAAAAUUUGAGACAAGUAAUUUGGAACGAAGGUAAUACUAG
rnacentral:pre_miRNA from 1 species